AAUAAAUUUCUAGUACAUCCAGCAUUUCAUUUCGCACGAGUCAGAUAACCUGGCUGCGUCACACUAGUACGGUAUCUUUUACCUCAAUGCUGUGAACGUCAUUUGAUUACGCUAGGAUAAUACACUAGGAAAAUGUAUGCGUAUGUAAUAAAGACAAUUUAUUAACCUCUGA